rnacentral:lncRNA from 1 species
AAUCUGGGACCUGACACAAAAUCAACCACUGAAAAUAAAAAUGUCACAAAAAGUGAUAACAUGACAUUAAAAUAUUACAUCAAAAAUAUUGAUCUUGUUUUAUAAAAUACAAAGAAUUUUCUAUUUAAACUUUAUGUGAUUUAGAUAUUUAUUCACUGUUAAGCUUGGAAAUAGCCCAACACGACCAUUAAAUUUAUUGAUUUUGAAUCCUUAUCACUUUAUAAAUGAUAUCGAAAAACUACGAAAUUUAUUUUAUAUGUACUUCAAAUACUUUAGAUCAACUUUAAUAGAGCUGAUCAUAUAUCGAUUCGAAAGUCCCAGUAUCGAAAAUGACUUGAUAACAUGGAGGCCACUGUAUUCUAAAAGCACAGAAGCCCCAUUUCCAUGAUAGUUCAUGUACUAAAACAUCUAAAUAAAAGUGUUGGGGCCUAUAAUAUUAGGAUAGUGAAAGAAUUAUGUACAUAUUUUAGUUGUAGAAUUGAAAGGUCUAACAAUCUAUUAGAUGAUGGAAAAAAAGGAAAAAAAAAAAAAAAGGUGUAUAUCUUAGACUCCAUCUAUCCAAUGAGUGAGAUAUCACUCACUAGUCACUUGAUGUGACUAAUGAAAGUAUCCCACGUGACUAGUGAGUGACAUCCCACCCAUUGGAUGGGGAGGGUGUAUAUCAUAU